rnacentral:ncRNA from 2 species
GUACCUCUUCAAGGAAUAACUCGUAUAUUUUCGGGAUUGGCCCGAAUGUUUCUACCUGGAAACCUUAAUUUCUGGACUACGAGCUAGAUGAAUCGGACA